UUAAAGCUACUCUCAGUUCGGAUUGUAGGCUGAAACUCGCCUACAUGAAGCUGGAGUUACUAGUAAUCGCAGAUCAGAAUGCUGCGGUGAAUGCGUUCCCGGGUCUUGUACACACCGCCCGUCACACCACGGGAGUUGGAGACGCCCGAAGCCGAUUAUCUAACCUUUUGGAAGAAGUCGUCGAAGGUGGAAUCAAUAACUGGGGUGAAGUCGUAACAAGGUAGCCGUAUCGGAAGGUGC
rnacentral:rRNA from 1 species